rnacentral:lncRNA from 1 species
GACGUGCAAGGCAUCGGAUUACAUCAAAGCAAAUACAGAUGUUCAAGACUUUAUUUAAGGAUUAAUAGCAGAUGCUUAAAAUUGACAAAAUACUUAAAAUCAUUCAAAAGCAGUCUUACAAAACUCCAAAAUAACAUAUGCCAACAUAAUUCAAAUGUCCAAACUAAACUAACUUAAAUGUCAAUAACUGAAGAAUCAUCGGAAACUCUAACGCACUUCCCAAUUCCGUGCGAUCAAGCCUCUGGAUCUGAAAAAUGGAGAAAACAGAAUAAUGAGCUACACUAGCCCAGUAAGCAACAAAAUACCCCAGAGUGGGGUCAGAGCAUAUCAGAUCAAAAUACAGGAUAAUGUCUGGAAUAAAU